GGAUAGGUGGGAGGCUUUGAAGUGUGGACGCCAGUCUGCAUGGAGCCGACCUUGAAAUACCACCCUUUAAUGUUUGAUGUUCUAACGUUGACCCGUGAUCCGGGUUGCGGACAGUGUCUGGUGGGUAGUUUGACUGGGGCGGUCUCCUCCUAAAGAGUAACGGAGGAGCACGAAGGUUGGCUAAUCCUGGUCGGACAUCAGGAGGUUAGUGCAAUGGCAUAAGCCAGCUUGACUGCGAGCGUGACGGCGCGAGCAGGUGCGAAAGCAGGUCAUAGUGAUCCGGUGGUUCUGAAUGGAAGGGCCAUCGCUCAACGGAUAAAAGGUACUCCGGGGAUAACAGGCUGAUACCGCCCAAGAGUUCAUAUCGACGGCGGUGUUUGGCACCUCGAUGUCGGCUCAUCACAUCCUGGGGCUGAAGUAGGUCCCAAGGGUAUGGCUGUUCGCCAUUUAAAGUGGUACGCGAGCUGGGUUUAGAACGUCGUGAGACAGUUCGGUCCCUAUCUGCCGUGGGCGCUGGAGAACUGAGGGGGGCUGCUCCUAGUACGAGAGGACCGGAGUGGACGCAUCACUGGUGUUCGGGUUGUCAUGCCAAUGGCACUGCCCGGUAGCUAAAUGCGGAAGAGAUAAGUGCUGAAAGCAUCUAAGCACGAAACUUGCCCCGAGAUGAGUUCUCCCUGACUCCUUGAGAGUCCUGAAGGAACGUUGAAGACGACGACGUUGAUAGGCCGGGUGUGUAAGCGCAGCGAUGCGUUGAGCUAACCGGUACUAAUGAACCGUGAGGCUUAACCUUACAACGCCGAAGGUGUUU
rnacentral:rRNA from 1 species